ACUGUGCCUUACAUAGUAGUUUGUCUAUUAUUAUUCCUCUUGCCAAAUUGAAGCCCUCGAAAGGCAUGGAUUGUGGGGUUUUCAUAUCCUUUCUAUACACCUGGGCCCUAACCCAAUUCCAGAAAAAGUAUGUGAUCUGGAACAUCAAAGGCCUCAUGCAUCUGUCCCCGGGGCCAACAUAAACAGGCCUGUGAGUGGAUGCUUAGAAUGUGGAGUGCAGAGUCUAGAACAGAACUAUGGACAGCAGCUCACAUGAAGUACCCCUAACUCAGAGAGAGGGAGGAAGGAGAUGGGCAUCUCAUCCUGCUGCAGCCAAGCUCAUAGUUACCACAGCAUUGCUGACCAGAGUGGCAUCUAUCCACUGGAAUGGAAUAAAUGAAAGACAUUAGGUAAUCAUCAGUUUCUGACUGUGACCCACAUACUUUAUGCGUUUGUCACCUGUCUCUGGCAUCUGAGGAUGAUGCUGUUGAGGAUGGUUACCACCUACAUGUGCAGUUAGAGCUACAAGUUCUGGUAGGUCUUCAGUUGUUCUUUCUAUGCUAUUGAGUGACUGUCUUUUUUUUAUUUUUAAGGAUUUUAAUUUUUUCCAUUAUAGUUGGUUUAGAGUGUUCUGUCAAUUUCUACCAUACGCAAAGUGACCUGACACACACACACACACACACACAUCUAUAUCUAUAUCUAUAUACUCUUUUUCUUAUAUUAUCCUCUAUCAUGUUCCAUCAUAAGUAACUAGACAUAGUUCCCAGUGCUACACAGCAGGAUCUCCUUGCUAAUCCAUUCCAAAGGCAAUAGUUUGCAUCUAUUAACCCCAGAUUUCAAGUCCAUCCCACUCCCUACCCCUCCUCCUUAGCAACCACAAAGUCCAUGAGUUUCUUUUCUGUGAAAAAGUUUAUUUGUGCCAUAUAUUACAUUCCAGAUAUGUGAUAUCAUAUGGUAUUUGUCUUUCUCUUUCUGACUUACUUCACUCACUAUGAGAGUUUCUAGUUCCAUCCAUGUUGCUGCAAAAGGCGUUAUUUUGUUCUUUUUUAUGACUGAGUAGAAUUCCAUUGUGUAUAUAUAUACCACAUCUUCUUAAUCCAUUCAUCUGUUGAUGGACAUUUAGGUUGUUUCCAUGUCUUGGCUAUUGUGAAUAAUGCUGUGAUGAACAUGCAUGUAUCAUUUCCAAGGAAAGUUUUGUCCAGAUAUAUACCCAAGAGGGGGAUUUCUGGAUUAUAUGGUAGUUCUAUAUUUAGUUUUCUGUGAUAC
rnacentral:lncRNA from 1 species